ensembl:lncRNA
ACUCUUGGAGAGCGAGCGGGGCUGCGACCCUGAGAUCCAGCGCUGUCGUGCGUUCCCCAGGCCGCCGGGACCUUGCCACAGGCACUGGGGCGGCAGGUGAGCGAAGGCGGCUGCGCAGGAGAGCGAGAGAGCUCAGGUAGAUAACUUGGAGGACCAGGAAGCUGAAGCAGCAACGAUGAGGGUGUCUGCGUCUGAAGCCAUGAUUUAACUGUUAAGGUGAGUCUUUGUGGCGGAAACACGCAUUUUGGAAAUAGCACACACAGGGCUGGCUUCUUUUCUGUGAACAGAUGGAGGCACACAGUGAAGGGUGGUCCCGAGAAGUGUAAGCCACUCCUGGGGUAAGCAUGUGUCUCCAACUUACAGGGGCACGGAGUUCCCAGCAUUCCUGUGUCCUGCUGUCCCAGCUGGGACUGCCAGGAAAGGGAAGUCAAAGGACUUCUCAGUGGUUCUUUCUGAGCUGAGCUGUGGUCCUCAAAAAGCUUUGACUGCCUCUAACUUAAAGAUUUAGGUUUUAAGAUAAACGCAUAGUAUAGCCCAGGCUGGCUCCAAACUCAUGAUCCUCCUGCCUCACUCAGUGUCUUGACAUUCCAAC